rnacentral:rRNA from 1 species
AUUGAACGCUGGCGGCAUGCCUUACACAUGCAAGUCGAACGGCAGCACGGGAGCAAUCCUGGUGGCGAGUGGCAAACGGGUUAGUAAUACAUCUGAACGUGCCUAAUCGUUU